AUGGAAGCGAAAGCAUCAAGUUCAUCACGUUCACUGAGCUCCGUUCAUCUACAGCUCCCAUACAUUGAGCUCCCACCCAAGCAUGGUGGCACUGUUCAGCCAUACGAGGCUGUUUAUAUUAAAAGCACUGACAGGGACAGUGGAUAUUAUGGAGUAUCUGCCACCCUGGAUGUCUAUGGAUACAAUCUCAAAGAUGGCCAAGUGAGCGGGGCAGCAAUUUCGAUAAGUAACUUCGAGGCUGAUUUUAGCAAGAACGUCAGUGCAAUUACCGUUGGAUGGGUGGUGUGGCCGUCUUACUUUAAUGACUCGCAAACUUACCUUUAUACGGCUUGGACGAAAGACAGCCGGCAGAGCACAGGGUGUGUCAACUAUGAUUGUCCUGGUAUCCAGCUUGUGAGCGGGUCUCCAAUAUUCCCCGGGGAUGUUAUAGCCCCAGUAUCCCAGGCUAAUGGGACACGGCAAACUAUCACCAUUAAGCUGUUCAGGACCAAGUUGAACGGGAACUGGUGGUUGCACGCUGGUGUAAACGACGAGGACCCGAUCCCGGUCGCCUACUUCCCGGCGUCACUAUUCGACGACUUUUUCUACAAAGCAACUCAAGUCGUGUUGGGUGGCCAUGCUCUCAAGUCUAAAACUACCACACCUCCUCCGAUGGGCAGUGGAGCCUUCGGCUCUGAUUGGGGCAAUGCGGCGAAGAUCCGAGACAUUCAUGUCAUCAUGGAGGACGGGAGGAGCAACUUUAUCGAUGAUGAUCUGUCCACCGAUGUCACUGACAUCAAGCUUUACUCUCUUUGGCCAAUUUCAGCAGGACAAUUCGCUUACGGAGGACCAGGAAGGAAGAACUAG
rnacentral:rRNA from 1 species